AGGAACCAAAAUAUCUUUUUUUUUGUGUUGGAGUGAUACACAGUAGAUUAGCAUGGCCCUUGCACAGGGAUGGCAUGCAAAUUCGUGAAGCAUUCCAUAUUUUA
rnacentral:snRNA from 1 species